rnacentral:piRNA from 1 species
UGCUCUUUUGGGCUUCAUGAGAUGGGA